UACGUAGGGUGCAAGCGUUGUCCGGAAUUAUUGGGCGUAAAGAGCUCGUAGGCGGUCUGUUGCGUCGGACGUGAAAACCCAGGGCUCAACCCUGGGCCUGCAUUCGAUACGGGCAGACUAGAGUUCGGUAGGGGAGACUGGAAUUCCUGGUGUAGCGGUGAAAUGCGCAGAUAUCAGGAGGAACACCGGUGGCGAAGGCGAGUCUCUGGGCCGAAACUGACGCUGAGGAGCGAAAGCGUGGGGAGCGAACAGG
rnacentral:rRNA from 1 species